GAUUCCAGCCAUGAAAGCCUUCAACAACACACUAGAAUCUGUCUGUGAUUAAAAGCUAAGUAGGGUCAUCUCAGGUUAGUAACUGGAUGGGAGACCACCAAUAAAUACCAGGUGCUGUAGGCU
rnacentral:rRNA from 11 species